CCUACGGGUGGCUGCAGUAAGGAAUAUUGGGCAAUGGACGCAAGUCUGACCCAGCCAUGCCGCGUGAAGGAUGAAUGUCCUAUGGAUUGUAAACUUCUUUUAUGCAGGAAAAAUAUCCCGGUCGUGAACCGGGACUGAUGGUACUGUAUGAAUAAGCAUCGGCUAACUCCGUGCCAGCAGCCGCGGUAAUACGGAGGAUGCAAGCGUUAUCCGGAUUCAUUGGGUUUAAAGGGUGCGCAGGCGGAAUGAUAAGUCAGUGGUGAAAUCUCCCGGCUCAACCGGGAAACUGCCAUUGAUACUGUCGUUCUUGAGUACAGUUGAAGUGGGCGGAAUGUGUCAUGUAGCGGUGAAAUGCUUAGAUAUGACACAGAACACCGAUAGCGAAGGCAGCUCACUAAGCUGUAACUGACGCUCAUGCACGAAAGCGUGGGGAUCAAACAGGAUUAGAUACCCCGGUAGUC
rnacentral:rRNA from 1 species